GGGAGCAUAGCUCAGUUGGUUUAGAGCACCUGCCUUACAAGCAGGGGGUCGUAGGUUCGAAUCCUUCUGCUCCCA
rnacentral:tRNA from 1 species